ACAGGCCAUGCUGACAAUGCAAUCAUCUGUCAGGAAACGACAUAAGUGGCUCCUGCAUGGGACUGUCUGGACUACACUAGGCAAAAUCAGGAUGUGAUGUCUUCAGCCUCAGCAGCUAUCUUUGGUACCAGAGGAAUAGACAAAGAAAAUUGCUGAGACUUUGGCUGUGACAUCUUUAAGCAGUUGAAACAAUGCCAGCAAACUUUUCCUUCUGGACUUCUUGUUAUGUGAGAAAAAAAAAAUACAGUAUGUAAUUGUUUAAGAUUUUUUAAGGAUUCAAAAAAGUAAUCCAUAUAAAGCAUUUACUGCAAAA
rnacentral:lncRNA from 1 species